rnacentral:tRNA from 2 species
GGGUCUGUGGGGUAGUUUGGUAUCCUACCAGCUUCGGGAGUUGGCGACCCCGGUCCAAAUCCGGGCAGACCCA